AUAUUAUAAUUAUUGUUAGAGACUGUUUAAAAUGACUUGAUCAUGCUCAAAAGAGCACACUUAUGGCAGACCUGGAACGAACUCUUGCGGAUAUAUCUUAUAUUAUAACUGUAAAUGAGCCAAACACUACUAAACCGAUUACUCUCCCAGAUCCAAGUGUUCACUUUGUUGUGGAGAAAUACUUAGAAGAGAAUGAACAGAUCAGUUUCGAUAUCAUCUUAAGUGAAAGAAUUGGGUACACUCUCUUCAAGAGAUUCAUAUUUGAUGGAUAUUCUGGAUUUUCAAAAAAGUGUAUUGAUUUCUAUGAAAUGAUUUCUGAAUACAGGUGUUUAGACUGUACAGUUACACGAAAACCAAUUGCCAAAGAGAUAUACAAAAGAUUCAUCAUGCCUGACUUACUUGCUAUGGAUCAAAGUUUUGACUCUGAGUUAGCAUCAUAUGUUAAUGACUGUUUAUCCAAAGAUGAAACAGACUUGAACCUAUUUGAUGCCUACAACAAUGUUAUCAAAGAAUACCUCAUACUGGAAGAGUUCCCAACUUUCAUUUUGAGCAAUCAUUACACUAGAUAUCUGCAAUGGAAGUUCGUAGAAAUAAAUGGUAAAAUCAAAAAGGAUGACUUUGUAAAACAUCGAAUUAUUGGUAGAGGAGGCUUUGGAGAAGUUCAUGGAUGUCUGAAGAUUGAUACUGGUCAUAUGUUUGCCAUCAAAUAUCUGAACAAGAAGCGCCUGAAGAAAAAAGGAGGAAAAACAACAGCAUUUGAGGAGCGUGAAAUGCUUUUAAAGUUCGACAGUCCAUUUAUUGUUGGCCUAAAUUAUGCAUUCCAAACCGAGGAGAAGUUGUGUUUUGUCUUAGAUCUCAUGAGAGGCGGUGAUCUGAGCUAUCAUUUGAAUCAGAGGGGACAGUUCUCAGAAGAUGAAACUCGAUUUUAUGCUGUAGAAAUUAUUCUUGGAUUGGAACUCAUGCACAGUAAAGAUAUUGUCUAUCGGGAUCUCAAACCAGCUAACAUUUUGAUGGAUGAUGCCGGACACAUUAAAAUCUCCGACCUUGGUUUGGCUACAGACUUCCGUAAAAAGAAACCUAAACUUGCCGUGGGUACACCAGGGUACAGAGCACCAGAGGUUCUACGCGGAAAACCAUACGAUUACUGUGCUGACUGGUUUACAUUCGGCUGCACCCUUGUCAAACUGCUCACAGGAAAGUGCCCUCCUACUCCAUCAGCAGAGAGCAACUCUUUACAACCACAGAUGGUUUACCCUGACGAUUUCACGCCGGAACUUGUUUCGUUGUUAACAGGCUUACUUCGGUACAUUCCAGAGAAGAGACUUGGAUAUAAUGGUGCUGCUGAAGUGAAAAUCCAUGGAUGGUUUCAGUCGGUGGAUUGGACGUUAGCUAAUAAACUUGGUCUUGAACCGCCAUUUGCUCCUUCAAAGGGGGAGGUACAUGCUCUUGAUCCUGUUGACAUCGGUACAUUCAAUGAUGAUGAUAUAAGGGAUGUCGAGUUAACCAAAGAAGAUGAGGAAUUCUUUAAGAGUUUCGACAUUUCCCCAUCGGACCGGUGGCAGCGAGAAGUUCUUGGUGAUAGCACAUGGUCCUCAUUUGACGUUGCCAAUCAGAACGCUGACAAGUGGGAGUUGAACAAACGGAAGUCUUGUACUUUUUACUGUGGAGCUAACAGUUCUUUGGAGUGCAAAUGUACAUUGGAGGGUUAUAUGCUGAAGCUUGGUGGGAUGUUUCUUACCAGUUGGCAAAAGAGCUACUUUAGUUUGUUACUGAAUCAUUCGAAUGGAGAACAGACCCUUUUGCUGAUAAACCUCUGAACACAAUCUAUCUUGAUGAACUUGUAGCGAUAAAGGAAUGUCGAUAUAAGGAUCACUCUAAAUGUAUCCGUCUAGAUGUAAUGUACAGAAAAAAUAAAACUCGUACCCCCGAUCUAGUCCUUCUCAGAUGUGAGACGGAAAUGGAAUUUGACCAGUGGAUGAAAAAUUUGACUAGAAAUUUGGAAGAUUACCGUUGUCAAGUGAAGAUGGACAGCUCCAAAAGAUUGUCCGCUGAUACGGAGACUGAGGAUGGAUGGGCUCUGGUGGACUCUUUUGAGAGUUCAGAAGAUCCAGUAUCGUACCAAAUUAAUUAGUUCUAGACGCUAAUGUAGCCACUUUGUAUAGUAUACAGUAUACACGUGGCUAAUUUAACCACAUUGUACACAGUGUACACGUGUAUACUAUACAAUGUAACCACAUUGUAUAGUAUACAAUAUACAGGUGGCUAAUGUAACCACAUUGUAUAGUAUACAGUAUACACGUGGCUAAUGUAACCACAUUGUAUAGUAUAAAUAGUAUACAGUAUACAGGACACAGGUGGCGAAAUAAAACUAGAUUUCUUCUUUUAUGUAGAUUAUAGAUGAUAGUGUUCAGAAUAGGAUUUUUUGAUUUAAACUCGUUAUAAUUAUAUGGUAUGUACGACAAUGCUCAAUCGAACGAAUUUACUAGCUUUGAUGCUUUAAGGUCUUAAAAGUUUUAAAGAGUUUAACAUUUGGAAGAGACUAUUUUGGUAUAAUUUUUGCAUUACUGUGAACUAUAAUAAUGGACCCACAUUUGCCUCAGCUCUUUGCUUUCCUCAAAUUCUGCAGUUUUAUAAGUAAGCAACGAUUUCAGUGCGGUAUACAUUUUUUAGUUUAAUUGCAUUUAAUCAACCUACGUUUUUGUUUGUAUGAAAAGUAGCGAUCAUUAUUGUUUUUUUAUUUCGUAUUUUUGAUGAUUUUUAUAUCGAUUGAUUAAUGUCAGAAUAUUUUGUAUAUGACCAAGUCAUAAUUUGUGUGUAGAAUUGCUGGCCAAAAUUUUGUUGUAAAUUGCCAGAUAAGUCUGACCUGAUUUGUUGAUGAUGUAAAUUAUAACGAUUGAUUUAGAUUUGUAUCAAUGCAUUGUAAAUAUGAAAACAAUUUUUGUGA